AUAUAUAUAUAUUAAUAUGAGCCAGAAUUCUUUUGACAAUUUAAGGCUUUUCCAUAGAGCUUAUUUAUACCAGGUGGUUUUUUUUUGUUUUUUUUUCAUUUUCAAUGUGUCAGCACUGUAGUGUAAAUAGCUUUAAAAAAUUUUUAGUGUGAUUUAUACUGAAAUGUGAGCCACUUAAUAAAGGUUCAUAAUAAUAAAUGUUUUUUGUUGGGUCUGCAAAAAAGACAAACUGACAAUUCAGUUAAAUCAUUUAUUUGAUCUAUUUUGUGUCUGCUGGUAUAUCCAUUUAGAGUGGUAAAGGAGUGCAAAUGUACAUAUCCAAAUCAGUGAAUAUUUAAUUCCCCACAUUGUGCAAGCAUUUUUAAAACCAAGAUUCAGUUUUAAAAGCAUAUUUAUAUAUCUGUGUAUGUAUGGGAAUAUAUAUGUAUAUCAUAUUUUAUAUAACUUCUUAAAUUGCUGAAUGAGAUGAAUAUGUGAAACUUCCUAGCCCUCCUCCCUGGAAUACAUUUAAAAAUAUUUAUAUUCAACAUUAAGAAAGCAGUUUAAGUAAUAGAAAUCAUUUUGUAAAGUUGGGAGAAACAAGGUCGGUUAACCCUCUAAUUAAUGAAGUUUUGUGUCCAGAUUACAUAGCCCUAACACAAAUUUUCUUUGUAGUGUAUGGAAUAAAAAGUUGAAAAAAUUUUCUAAUAGGCACCUAUCUGUACUUAAUAAUAGCUGAGUAAAAAUCUUUAGUUACAGAAAGUUUAAUUGUGAGCAGUUAAAAUCCUUUUACAUUUUUCUUGCAGAACAAGAGGAAAAUAUGGCAAAUGUAAAAUCCUAAAAUAAGGGAGACUCAGCUGCCAUAUACAGAGAUAUAUCUAACAAAAUAAGAUGUGUUACCUUAUCUUUCUAAGGAUCCCUCUCUCCCUUAGCAAGGCAUUGUAAAUCAUAUCUAAUGGGACAGCAGAGGAAGGAGAAGAAAACAUCGUGAAUUUCAGCUUGUCUUCCCAGGACAUCAUACCCAAUUAGGGAAUGUGAAUGAGCUGUGAACAAAAUGUGGGCAAAUAGAAUUCAUGUUAACUAGAAAUUCAAGGUAAAAUUUACUAGUUGUAUGUUUUAUUACUAUUAUAAUAGUGCCUUCCAAGAACUGCGCUAUUAUGAAACAUUGUACACAUUCUGAAAUUUAGAAUUUAUGCGUCCAUGUUUUUAAAAUGUUAAGUCUACACUUUUCUACAAAGCUCAUUGCUGUUGUACUACUCAAGACUACUAAGUGUGCAGACUCCGAGUCAAGUCAAUGUAGUUGCAAAUAUUUUGAGUAAUACAGGGUUCAUAAUUUUAUUUAGACAGACAGUUUGAUCCCCGCUCAAAUUUCUUUCCUUGAAAUGUUUUUAACUGAGCCAGAUUUUUAUGUGAAAAAUCUCAGGUCUGUAUUUAAAAAAAACAAACCCUUCUCUCAAGUGUGGCUUUUGUUUGUGCUCUUGUUCCAUCUCUCUUCCUGAUUGACAGAGUUCUUAGAAACCUCUGUCUGCCUUCACUUCCUCAUUUCACUAGUUUAAUUUAAUCCUCAAAUUUAAUCCCUCAGCUGAAAUGGUUCUCUCAAAGGUCACCAUUUGAGUGCCAAAUCCAGGGGCUGCAUUUCUUAACUGUUUAACCCUUGCAGCACUUGUUAUCAGUCAUUUACUUCUUAAUACUCUAUAUGACCUGUUCUUUUUUGUUGUUUUUCCUUUUUUUUUGGAUGGCUUUUGCCUGUCCACGACUAUUUAAAGCAGUCUCCAUGGUUCUUUCCUUUUAGGUCUCCACACUCAGUCCAAAAAGUGUUUUCAUAACCCCAUGACUUUAGUCAGCCUUGGUUUCUCACUUAAGCUCUAAUGAUCCUUGUAAUCAAAUCUAGUCUCUCUUGCCCCCAAGCAUUAGCUGUUCUUUUUUCUCCUAAUUUGGUUAUUGGCAUCACUAUCUCUACAUAGUCAUCCUAUAGUAAUCUGAUUUAUCAUUUUCCCCUGUGGACAAUGUAUCAUAAGAUUUUGUUGAGUUGCCCCCAGAAAUGUUUAUAAUUUGUCUAUUGUUAUCAGUAGAUGUUCAGUCAUUGUAGAUGUUCAUCUUACUUGGACUUUUAAGAAAGGCUAAUACGUUUUAGGCUGCCUGCAGUUCUUUGCCCUUACCCCCAUUCCAAUCCAUUAAAAAAAAAUAGUUGACAUAUAUUUGUUUCAGGUGUACAACAGUGACUCAACAUUUACAUACCUUACAAACUGAUUACCACAGUAACCAUCUGUCACCUCAAUCCAUUCUUGAUGUUACCACUAGAUUAACCUUCCUCAAAUAGAUACGAUUGUUACUCUUCUGCUUAGAAAUACUCAGUGGCUCCUUUCCUGCAGAAAAGGCCUAAUGGCUCAGCAUAGCACUGAAGAGCCUUCAUGAUCCGGCCCUUCCUUUCCAGCUUUGUCUACCACAAUCUCUCCAUUUUUUUUUUUUUUUUAACUGAGCCAUCCUUCCACCUGUUGGCAGCUCAGCGGCAACUCAGCUCAGGCCAGGAAUCGAACAGUCUCUCCAUUUGAUGGGCCCAAUUUUUGGCUUUACCAGAUGACAGUACUUACCAUUCUGUUUGUGCACUUUUAAAAUUCAUUGCCUUUGCUGGGGAAAUCUCUGCCAGGAAUACAGCAUAGAGAAAUCUCAUUUUAAAACUCCAGUUAAACAUCAUCUCUUCUGUGUAUCUUUUACCGAUACUCCCAACUGUCCCCUCACCCCACAACGGGUGUAGAGCCAAUUCUUCCCUCUGCAUCUGGCAUCCCUUUGUUCACAUCAUUUACCAAACGUAUUAGUUAAGGACAUGUUGGGUUCUAGCUAAACCAUGAGCUAGACAUUGCAAAUUUUCUUCAGACCUUUGUAUCCCCCAAACUUAAUAUAUAGUACACUUGUUCCAUAAAUACUUGAAGGAACAAAAGUUGAACCUUAACUUCACAGGGGGUAGGAAAAUUAUGUAGGUUUCUGUAGUUUAAAAAAUUGGAUCAGUAGGCCCUAUAAAGAAGCCUAAUUUCUAUUUUGUACUUACUCCAGCCUUAUGGAUACAGUUUAAGAAGAUAACCUAUUCGAUAUCUAAGCCCAUUGGACAAUGUGUAGAUAGUAUUGUAAAAAUAAACCUGUAAAACUUACCCAACUUUUUAUCCCUUCCACUAGAGAUACACUGAAAAUUACAAAUUAAGGAUAAAAUUUAUACCUAAAGUGAUUAAAAUGGCAAAUAAAUAAGAAGCACCUUAAUAUCUCAUAAUCUGAAGCAGAAUUUAUUCCUAAAUCUAUAUGGCAAGAUAAAGUGGUUAUCUGGUUAACAGAUAGGUAUUGAUUAAGCUUAUAUGGUUCUCCCUAUUGAUAUAAACAACACAAAUUGAAAAUAUUGAAGAUGAUGAUAACAUGCAGUGGUUGUUUUAGUCUAUAGUAUCUAUUCUGUUGCAGGAAUGGGACAAGGACUUAUUAAAGGUGGCACUUUUUCAGACAUCCUCCUGUAAAGCCCCUUCACUGGGGUGUUAUGCUGAGGGCAUUUGUAGCAGUAUAGCUGUGGGUCAUUAAAGGGGAACAAUACAUAAUGCUGAGAAAAUACUUACCUUAGUCUGUAUUUCUCAUAUGUAAAGUGGGGUGUAACACCUAUUCUGUUAAUUGGUGGUGAAAAUGAAAUGAUAGAACAUGCCAAAUGUUUACUUAGCACAUUGCUUGGCAUAUCAUAGACACUACAAAUGUCAGCUUCUAAUCCAGGAAUUAACAGUAAAAACAAUAGAGAGCUAUGUGCUGGGUCACCCUAUUCCUUUCACCUCUUCCACACUGUCUUCUAUAUAUUCCUCUCUCUAAUUUUGGGCAGAGGAUAGGCAUCAGGGAAGAGGAAAAAGUUUCAUCAAGGGUCAAGGUGAGGUAUGGUGGAGGUAGGUGGACAUCAGGGACGAACUUCCUAGUUCACUAUUGCAGGGCUAGCAAUUCAAAAUCAUGUCACAGACUGCCUUUUCUUGAUAUAAACAAAUUAUAAAUUUAUAUUGUAUAGAUGAAAGUGGAAUUAAUUUUACUUUGUGGUAUAAGAUUCCAAUAUGAUUUAGCUAAACUUGAAUACAGGGCAAGCAAAAUGAGAAUAAAACAUUUAAUAUGUAAGGUAGAUCCCUCUCAUAAAAGAUUUUAAUCAAGUGUUUAGCAUUUGAUAACUGGUAUCUUCUGUAGAUGCUUUCUAUUUUUGUUUUUCUUCAGUAGGAAAUCUGUUGGUGGAAAUAGCAUUUGAAGUUAAACUUCUCCGUUUAUCGAUGACCAUGGGUUAAUUUCAUUUAUCUAGUCUUUAGUUUCUUCAUCAUUAUAAUUAGUUUUUUUUUCCUUGGCUCUAACAUUCUAUAAUCCCUGUGUACCUUCACUGUCUAUGCCAUGAAUUAAUUAUAAGAACACCAAUAAUACUUUGAGAAAGAGUGAUGUUUACUGUGCAAACAACCAAUCAAGAUUAAAGGAAACUCCUUUGGUAAUUUGUGUCUUGUUUUGUAAUACUAAAAGGACUCUGAUAAUUUUCCUAAGAGAAAUAACUUUAUUUUGAUGACACAGGUACAUGGUAAUAUGCUUGCCCCUACAUGAAAAAUGGUUCUAUGGUUUCCUCUCCUUUUUUGGCCACCACUUCUGUUCAUUAGUCAACAUCAGUUCCUCUACUUAUUUGCCGCACGGUGAAAAAGCAAAGUGGAAAGCAGGUGACCAUAUUUGUAAGGUUAAUAACUUAAAAUUAAGCUUUAGUUAAUCUGGUUACUAAAUAUCUAUUUAGCUAUUUACUAUUUUCUACUUUUCAUAUUUUCAAGCGUUAGAAAAAGUUACUUUGUUCACACGUUGCUUUUAUUCAGAAUUUUUGCCCAACAGAUUAAGUUACUUCUUGUCCAUGCUGACCUGAAAAAUAAUGGCUUCACUAGGAAACUUUCAUUUUUCAAGUUUCUUUCUUAAGGCAGAGUGUUAGUUCUUUUCACAGUUAGUAAAAAUCUCUGUAUUAUAAAAGAAGUAUCCUAUAACUAAAAACAAACCUAGGAAGGUAUUUUUCUACAAUACUGUUUAUGUAUUAUUCCACUAGUUUUGCUGUUUAUAUCUGUGAGCAUGAUUUCUAUCUUUUAAGUCUUUCAUUACUUAAUGUUUUAAAUGUAUCCCAAUUACUGAGGCUGUGAAAUUGUUAUUUAUAAUAAGAAAUAUAUCUGGUCUUCAUCCCCAUUCCUGGCGCAGGAAUUUAACACCCUUGGAAUUUCCUAAGUGAUAAAUUUGAUAAAGGUGUCUUUUGAACUUAUGUUAAAGAGGUGACUUGGAAAGCUCCUAGGUAACCUAAGGAUGGGAGCUGGUUGCUAGGGGAACCAACCCUGUGAUUAAAGGAUUGUUAAACUUUUCAAUACCCUCCUUCACCUCCUAAGGUAGAGGGGCUAGAGACUGAGUUCAUUCACCAAUGGCCAGUGAUUUUACAAAUGACUGUAGUCAAGUCUCCAUAAAAUCCCUAAAGGACAGGGUUCGGAGAGCUUCCAAGGUGGUGAACACAAGAUGGGAGACGAGUGGUCAUCCAGAGCACGGACGCUCCAUGCCCCUUCCCCAUACCUUGCCCUGUGCAUCUCUUCCAUGUGGCUGUUCCCCUUAUGUCCUUUUAUAAUAAACUGAUAAUCUAGUAAAAUGUUUCUCUGAGUUCUGUGAGAUGCUCUAGCAAAUUAACUUGAGGAGGGGGUCAUGAGAACCUCCAGAUCUAUAGCCAGAGUACAGGUGACAACCUGGAUGUGCCAUUAGCAUCCUAAGUUGGGGUGGGAAUUAGACUUCUGGGACUGAACCCUUAACCUGUGCUUGUGAUGCUACCUCCUGGUAUAUAUAGUCAGAACUGAGUUAAUUUCUUGGUGGUGUGGGGAAAAACACACAUCUGAAUUGGUGUCACACAGAGGCACACAUCAAUAAUUUAGUACAGCUUCAAGUUGUUUAUUUAGUGUGGCAUAUACCAAAUUGAGUAAGAAAAGAGCUCUCCUUUCUGGGAACCUUUCAGAUACUAUUACAAGUGAUUGAGCCUCACAUGUAAACAGGUUGGUUAUUCUGUUGCCUUUUACGUACAAUUCUUACCCAAUUUUCCUUUUAGCAAUCUCAGAAUUUCUGCAUUUGCUUGUUUUAGGACCUAGCUCAGGGGUCAGCAAACUACUGCCCACCACCCUUAUCUUUUUUUUUUUUGGUAGGGACUGUAAGGUAAGAAUGAGUUUUAAAUGGUUGAAACAAAAAUCAAAAGAAUGUUGUGUCAUAUGAAAUUUAUGUCAUUGUCCAUAAAGUUUUAUUGGAACAUAA